rnacentral:rRNA from 1 species
ACUCUGGGGGGACUGCCGCCGAUAAGGCGGAGGAAGGAGUGGGCCACGGCAGGUCAGUAUGCCCCGAAUCUCCCGGGCCACACGCGAGCUGCAAUGGCAGGGACAAUGGGUUCCGACCUCGAAAGGGGAAGGCAAUCCUCAAACCCUGCCGUAGUUGGGAUCGAGGGUUGGAACCCACCCUCGUGAACAUGGAAUCCCUAGUAAUCGCGUGUCACUAGCGCGCGGUGAAUACGUCCCUGCUCCUUGCACACACCGCCCGUCGUUCCACCCGAGCGACUUUUGGGUGAGGCGUGGUCUUUGUUGGCUGCGUCGAAUCCAAAUUUCGUGAGGGGGGAAAAGUCGUAACAAGGUGGCCGUAGGGGAACCUGCGGCCGGAUCACCUCCU